rnacentral:rRNA from 1 species
UACGGAGGGUGCAAGCGUUAUCCGGAUUCACUGGGUUUAAAGGGUGCGUAGGUGGGUUGGUAAGUCAGUGGUGAAAUCUCCAGGCUUAACUUGGAAACUGCCAUUGAUACUAUCAAUCUUGAAUACCGUGGAGGUCAGCGGAAUAUGUCAUGUAGCGGUGAAAUGCUUAGAUAUGACAUAGAACACCAAUUGCGAAGGCAGCUGGCUACACGAAUAUGACACUGAUGCACGAAAGCGUGGGGAUCAAACAGG